UCCCAUUCAAGUCAAGACUGGUAGCCAUUGCUAGUGUAUCCAUGAGUUUAUCUGUAAAAUUACCAGGGUUAAAGAUUCCAAAACCCUGCUAUGGAUUAUAUGUCUAUAUACGGCCAAAAUGCAGCAAGCUGUUCCACAGAUCAAAGGAGGAGGAGCGAUAGUAGUGGGAAAAAUAUGGCCGUGCAUUGAUAAGUACACCAAACAUGGCAUUAACGAUAAGUACUAAAAUAAGGAUAACUUUUCUUUCAUUAUAAUUUCAGCACAAAUGAAAAUGUGGCACUGACCCGCCAAUGGUUUGAUAUUUCAGCAUUGUCUCAAUGAAGAGUUCGCCUUCGACUAGCCAUAUGCGACAUGCACACGCAGUUAGCGGCAGGCGGACGAGCAAUAUCCACCAUCAUACGGAUGAAGCCUGACAUGGAAUGUGAAGGUUUUCACGUGAUAUGUGGCGGGCACCAGUGGCGCGAAAUUUCAUUGAUUGACAUCUGCCGAAUGCCGAAUUUGGCAGUGGAGGCGGGGUCCAUUGACCAAGCAGUGGCUAUUCGGAGCGCGAGGUCCAUUGUCAGAGAGCUUUUAGGAGAGGA
rnacentral:lncRNA from 1 species